rnacentral:rRNA from 1 species
UUCGAGUGGCGGACGGGUGAGUAACGCGUGGGUAACCUGCCUUACACAGGGGGAUAACACCCGGAAACAGGUGCUAAUACCGCAUAAGCGCACAGGGCCGCAUGGCCCGGUGUGAAAAACUCCGGUGGUGUAAGAUGGACCCGCGUCUGAUUAGCUUGUUGGCGGGGUAGAGGCCCACCAAGGCGACGAUCAGUAGCCGGCCUGAGAGGGUGGACGGCCACAUUGGGACUGAGACACGGCCCAAACUCCUACGGAAGGCAGCAG